rnacentral:rRNA from 1 species
AAGCUCGUAGUUGAAUUUCCCGUUCAAUGGAUUGGUCAUGCCGUUGGUAUGUACUGGUCAUAUUGGUUCUCACCUUCUAAGGAACCAUAAUGUCAUUCAUUUGAUGUUUUGGGGAAUUAGGACUGUUACCUUGAAAAAAUUAGAGUGUUCAAAGCAGGCUAACGCUUGAAUACAUUAGCAUGGAAUAAUGAAAUAGGACAUCGCAUUCUAUUUUGUUGGUUUUUAGGAUCGAUGUAAUGAUUAAUAGGGAUAGUUGGGGGCAUUAGUAUUCAACUGUCAGAGGUGAAAUUCUUGGAUUUAUUGAAGACUAACUACUGCGAAAGCAUUUGCCAAGGAUGUUUUCAUUAAUCAAGAACGAAAGUUAGGGGAUCGAAGACGAUCAGAUACCGUCGUAGUCUUAACCAUAAACUAUGCCGACUAGGGAUCGGAUGAUGUUGAUUUUUUAAUGACUCAUUCGGCACCUUACGGGAAACCAAAGUGUUUGGGUUCCGGGGGGAGUAUGGUCGCAAGGCUGAAACUUAAAGGAAUUGACGGAAGGGCACCACCAGGGGUGGAGCCUGCGGCUUAAUUUGACUCAACACGGGGAAA